CGAGUCGGCCAGACAGUCGCUGGCAGCAACAGCUGCGAGAGGAAAGUCCGGGCUCCACAGGACGAGGUGCCAGGUAACGCCUGGGGGGCGUGAGCCCACGGAAAGUGCAGCAGAAAGCAAACCGCCUAAGUCGCAGCGCUGCGGCGCUGCGAACGGUAAGGGUGAAAGGGUGCGGUAAGAGCGCACCGCGCGCGUGGUAACACUGCGCGGCUAGGUAAACCCCGCCUGGAGCAAGGCCAAAUAGGAACCCAACGGUGUGGUCCGCAUCGGGUUCGGGUAGGCCGCACGAGGCGUUCGGUGACGGGCGCCCUAGAUGAAUGACUGUCGGCCACGUCCUAGGAUGUGGCAACAGAACCCGGCUUAUCGGCCGACUCAGCCA
rnacentral:RNase_P_RNA from 1 species